rnacentral:rRNA from 1 species
CCUACGGGUGGCAGCAGUGAGGAAUAUUGGUCAAUGGCCGGAAGGCUGAACCAGCCAUGCCGCGUGAAGGUCAGUGCCCCAUGGGCGUUAAACUUCUUUUGUGCGGGAGCAAUAAUGGUCACGUGUGGCCAGACGAGAGUACCGUACGAAUAAGCAUCGGCUAACUCCUGGCUAGCAGCCGCGGUAAUACGGGGGAUGCAAGCGUUAUCCGGAUUUAUUGGGUUUAAAGGGUGCGUAGGCUGGGAGGUAAGUCAGCGGUGAAAGGCCCCCGCUCAACGGGGUGAAGUGCCAUUGAUACUGCCUGGCUAGAGUGCGGAUGCGGUGGGAGGAAUGUGUGGUGUAGCGAUGAAAUGCAUAGAUAUCACACAGAACACCGAUUGCGAAGGCGUCUCGCGAAUCCGCGAUUGACGCUGAUGCACGAAAGCGUGGGUAUCAAACAGGAUUAGAUACCCCAGUAGUC